rnacentral:rRNA from 1 species
GACGAACGCUGGCGGCGUACUUAACACAUGCAAGUCGAACGGAAAGGCCCAGCUUGCUGGGUACUCGAGUGGCGAACGGGUGAGUAACACGUGGGUGAUCUGCCCUGGACUCUGGGAUAAGCCUGGGAAACUGGGUCUAAUACCGGAUAUGACCUUACAUCGCAUGGUGUUUGGUGGAAAGCUUUUGCGGUUCAGGAUGGGCCCGCGGCCUAUCAGCUUGUUGGUGGGGUAAUGGCCUACCAAGGCGACGACGGGUAGCCGACCUGAGAGGGUGAUCGGCCACACUGGGACUGAGACACGGCCCAGACUCCUACGGGAGGCAGCAGUGGGGAAUAUUGCACAAUGGGCGCAAGCCUGAUGCAGCGACGCCGCGUGAGGGAUGACGGCCUUCGGGUUGUAAACCUCUUUCACCAGGGACGAAGCGUGAGUGACGGUACCUGGAGAAGAAGCACCGGCCAACUACGUG